AGAGUUUGAUCCUGGCUCAGAAUCAACGCUGGCGGCGUGCCUAACACAUGCAAGUCGAACGCGAAAGGGGCUUCGGCCCUGAGUAGAGUGGCGAACGGGUGAGUAACGCGUGGGUGACCUACCUUCGAGUGGGGGAUAACGUUCCGAAAGGAGCGCUAAUACCGCAUGAAGUUCCGGGUUUGAACAUCUGGAAACCAAAGCCGGGGAUCGCAAGACCUGGCGCUUGGAGAGGGGCCCGCGUCUGAUUAGCUAGUUGGCGGGGUAAUGGCCCACCAAGGCGACGAUCAGUAGCCGGCCUGAGAGGGCGGACGGCCACACUGGGACUGAGACACGGCCCAGACUCCUACGGGAGGCAGCAGUGGGGAAUUGUUCGCAAUGGGCGCAAGCCUGACGACGCAACGCCGCGUGGGGGAUGAAGGUCUUCGGAUUGUAAACCCCUGUCGAGCGGGACGAAUGGCCCGCGACCUAACACGUCGUGGGAGUGACGGUACCGCUAAAGGAAGCCACGGCUAACUCUGUGCCAGCAGCCGCGGUAAUACAGAGGUGGCAAGCGUUGUUCGGAAUUACUGGGCGUAAAGGGCGCGUAGGCGGCCUUCUAAGUCAGACGUGAAAUCCCCCGGCUUAACCUGGGAACUGCGUCUGAUACUGGAAGGCUUGAGUGCGGGAGAGGGAUGUGGAAUUCCAGGUGUAGCGGUGAAAUGCGUAGAUAUCUGGAGGAACACCGGUGGCGAAGGCGGCAUCCUGGACCGACACUGACGCUGAGGCGCGAAAGCUAGGGUAGCAAACGGGAUUAGAUACCC
rnacentral:rRNA from 1 species